rnacentral:rRNA from 1 species
UUAUUGGAGAGUUUGAUCCUGGCUCAGGACGAACGCUGGCGGCGUGCCUAAUACAUACAGGUCGAGCAGACCUUGUGUUUCACCCGGGAGACGCGCCAGGUUAGCGGCGGACGGGUGAGUAACACGUAGGCAACCUGCCUGUAAGACCGGGAUAACUUGCGGAAACGUGAGCUAAUACCGGAUAGCUGGUUUCUUCGCAUGAAGAAGUCAUGAAAGACAGGGCAACCUGUCACUUACGGAUAGAGCCUGCGGCGCGUGGCUGGAUUGGUAGGGUAACGGCUUACCGGGCGGCGGCGAUGCGUAGCCGACCUGAGAGGGUGAACGACCACACUGGGACCGAGACACGGCCCAGACUCCUACGGGAGGCAGCAUUGGGAAUCUUCCGCAAUGGACGAAAGUCUGACGGAGCAACGCCGCGUAGGUGAUGAAGGUUUUCCGGAUCGUAAAGGCUCUGUUGCCAAGGAAGAACGGCCAGGGAGUAACUGCCCCUGGAGUGGCAAGUACUUGAGAAGAAAGCCCCAGCUAACUACGUGCCAGCAACCGGUGUUGGUGUGUAAAGGAAGGAGCAAGAAGAACGCCAUCCGAAUUGUGGGGCAUCCGCAGGCGCUUGUGCAUUGAAGACAAAUCCAUGGAGUUCGUCCCCAACCCCGGACUCCGUUUGGAUAUGUGAUGAAACUUCAGGAGACUUGAGUGUAGGAAAGUGGAAUUCCACGUGUAGCGGUGAAAUGCGUAGAGAUGUGGAGGAACACCAGUGGCGAAGGCGGCUUUCUGGCCUAUAACUGACGCUGAGGCGCGAAAGCGUGGGGGCAAACAGGAUUAGAUACCUAUUUAGUCACGCCGCAUCAACGAUGAAUUACUAGGUGUUAGGGGUUUCGAUACCUUGGUGCCGAAGUUAACACAGUAAGCAUUCCGCCUGGGAAGUACGGUCGCAAGACUGAAACUCAAAGGAAUUGACGAGGACCGCACAAGCAGUGAAAGAUGUAUGGUUUAAUUCGAAGCAACGCGAAGAACCUUACCAGGCCUUGACAUCCCUCUGACCGGUUUAGGGAAUAAGACCUUUUCCUUCGGACAAGAGGAGACGGGUGGUGCAUGGUUGUCGUCAGCUCGUGUCGUGAGAUGUUGGGUUAAGUCCCGCAACGAGCGCAACCCUUGAUCUUAGUUGCCAGCACGCAGAGGUGGGCACUCUAAGAUGACUGCCGGUGACAAACCGGAGGAAGGUGGGGAUGACGUCAAAUCAUCAUGGCACCCCUUAUGGCCUGGGCUACACACGUACUACAAUGGUCAGUACAACGGGAAGCCGCGAAGGAGCGAUCCGGGCCAAUCUAUAAGCCGAUCUCAGUUCGGAUUGCAGGCUGCAACUCGCCUGCAUGAAGUCGGAAUUGCCCAGUAAUGCAGCGGAUCAGCAUGCCGCGGUGAAUACGUUCCCAGGUCUUGUACACACCGCCCGUCACUACGAGUUUACAACACCCGAAGUCGGUGAGGUAACCCUGCGGGGGCCAGCCGCCGAAGGUGGGGCAGAUGAUUGGGGUGAAGUCGUAACAAGGUAGCCGUAUCGGAAGGUGCGGCUGGAUCACCUCCUUU